CUUUUUCAAAAUGUGGCGGUGGCAGGGAAGGUUGUCUGCUCCAGAGGCUUCCCUAGAGUGAAGAGCUCUACUAUGUAUGCUUUAUGCGGCAGAAGGAGUGCUUUGGAGGAGUUUUUAAAUUUGUUUUUUUUUUAAAUCUUAUCGGUUUUAAUUGUAGCAAUGAUUCAAGAAACGUUAGUAGGUGCCCAUAACUUCGGUGGUGGAGAUCCAAAAGUGAACAAGACAGUGUUCUGGCUGCUAAAUUCUUCUUAACUGGUUAUGCCUGGAGACCUUCACUUGGUUCUGUGCCAGCACUGCCCAUGAACUUCAUAGACUGUGAUCUUUGCUAAGGCCUAAAUGAAUGAAGGUGCAGGACCGGAAGCAGAAGACAGAAAGUGGAGACCAGAUGUUUGAAGCUGGGUAAAGGCAGGGAUGGAGCAGGAACCGAGGAACAAACCUUGGAACUAGUUGCACUUGCCCAAAGGAAGUUCUCGUUUGAUUGACUCUGUCUGCUGCUCCAUAGCGACUUUCCAGCUCUCAGGCCUGAUCCAAGGAGCCACAGAGCAUGCCCAUCAAGAGCUAUGUGGGACCAUGGGGGCGGGCCUGGGUUUUAUGUGAAGUAAUGGCUUUUCAAGCCUGGCAUGACAGUUCGCAGUCCAGCAUGGCAACCAGCAGCCCAGCAUGAAGGAGGCAGACAGUUGAACAGAUUAUUUUUAUGGCUUACUUAAAGAAAUAGUUUUGAUGUCAAAUCCAUUUUGGUUUCAAAUGGGAAAAUCAGAGUUAACCUCUCUAUACUAUUCAGAAAAAAUCAGCUGAAAAGUGCAGAAACCAAAUUGGUUUACCAACUGGUGGUCAUCAUGCCGAGAGCAUUAUAACCAAUGCUCUCCUCUUUGCAGUCCCUUCACCCCAGUUGACUAAUUGUUUAGAUCCAAUUAACUUUCAUUUGUUGUAUGUUGCAUAAACUGGACUUUACAACUAGGUAUAAGAAGAACAAGGAGGGAAGAAGAGUAUCUUCUUUGUAUUAAAUUAUGUCUCGUUUUUCACAAGAUAGUUCAUAUCUCCCUUUAAAUGUCAUAUAUGAUAUAUGCCUCUUUAAAUGUUGUGAUUGCUUGAAAU
rnacentral:lncRNA from 1 species